rnacentral:lncRNA from 1 species
AACCCAGCUCUGAAAGUGCUAAGGAAGGCCCCCCGCCCCCCCCCCCCCCAGCGCCCACCCAGGCAGGGGAGACGACCUCUUCCAGGUCCCCGCUCUAAGAAACUGCUCCUGCGAGUGAGGGCGCUGCGGGGGGGGGGGUGGGGGUCGAGACCCCAGAUCCAGGACGCAGAGACUCCUGGUGUCCUGGACGGAGCGCCCUGGGAAUCCCUGCUCCGUGUCCCGGUCUGUCCCUCCCCAGCCCCCUGCAGUGGCGGCCCGGGGACGUCGAGCUCGGAGGGUUCCCCCCAAUGGGACGCACUGUCCUUGCUCACGGUCGGAGCGCGCAAGCCGCGGCCUCUGCCCCGCCCCUGCGGUUCUGGAAGGUCUAAGGGGGAUUUCUUUUUUUUUUUUCCCCUUCCCUUCCCUUCCCGCCCCCGUCCAGGUCCGGGUCCCGGUCCCCGCCCCCACCCCGCCCCCGCCGGGAGCGGCGCUAGGCAGUGCCGGCCGCGGGCGCUUGUCCUCCUCCGCUCCCGCGUCCCGGGCUCCCGGGAGUGUCACCCGUCCUCCCUCCCCAGCCGUCACCUUUCAACAGUUUCCCCAAAGCCACCGCACCGCCGGCGCGCGGCUGCUCCCGGGCCUGCACGGGGAGCUCCUGCCGCCCGGCAUUCCUCGGAUUCCAGCGCCGUGACGUCCCCGCGGCCGGCGCGCCUGCAGCCCGGGAGCCCCGGCUCCGAGUUUCGGCGCUGCCCCGCGCCCCACGCCCGGCGCCCCGCGCCCCCCGCGCCCACCGCCCGGCGCCCCGCGCCCCGCCGCGGCGCGCGCCUCCCGGGCGCAUUCCUGCCCGCGCUUCCCCCCCCGCGCCCCGCGCCCCCGCCUCCGCCGCCCCGCCCGGCCCGGCCCGGGGUGGAGGGUGGGGGGCGGGGGGAGCCGCGGCCGCCGGCGCCUGCUCCGUCCCCUCCCACCGCACGGCCCCUUCCUCCCUCCCCUGCCGGCCGCUCGCAUUUCCUGCCGCCCGGGCUCCCGCGGCCCCGGAAAGUUCUGCCCAACUUUUUCUCCGCCGGACGAGCGGGCGCCGCGGGGCGCGGGCCGGGGCAGGUUGCCGCGCUCGCCCUCGCUCGGCCCGGCGGGGUCCCCGGGGAGCAGCCGAGUCCCGGGCGGCGGCGGGCGGCCCUCCCCGCCCACCUCACCCCUGCUCCCGGGCCCCCCGCCCACCUCACCCCUGCUCCCGGGACCCCCCCGCCCACCUCACCCCUCCUCCCGGGACCCCCCCGCCCACCUCACCCCUCCUCCCGGGCCCCCCCGCCCACCUCACCCCUCCUCCCGGGGGCCCCCCCCCCCCGCCCACCUCACCCCUCCUCCCGGGACCCCCCCCGCCCACCUCACCCCUCCUCCCCCCCGUCCCCCCCCCCGCCCACCUCACCCCUGCUCCCGGUCCCCCCGCCCACCUCACCCCUCCUCCCGGCCCCCCGCCCCCUCCCCGGGACUACCCCGGGCUUAGGUGGCUCUCCUCCUCUCCGGGUCGGUGCGCGGGGAUCGCAGCGGAAACCUCCCUCCCCUUUCGCCUGCUCCGGCCCCGGCCCCGGCCCCGGCUCCUUCCCCCGCCCUCCUCCGCGGCCACUGGAAUCAAUUCCUUAG